GACGAACGUUUGCGGCGUGCUUAACACAUGCAAGUCGAACGGAAAGGCCCUGCUUUUGUGGGGUGCUCGAGUGGCGAACGGGUGAGUAACACGUGAGUAACCUGCCCUUGACUUUGGGAUAACUUCAGGAAACUGGGGCUAAUACCGGAUAGGAGCUCCUGCUGCAUGGUGGGGGUUGGAAAGUUUCGGCGGUUGGGGAUGGACUCGCGGCUUAUCAGCUUGUUGGUGGGGUAGUGGCUUACCAAGGCUUUGACGGGUAGCCGGCCUGAGAGGGUGACCGGCCACAUUGGGUCUGAGAUACGGCCCAGACUCCUACGGGAGGCAGCAGUGGGGAAUAUUGCACAAUGGGCGGAAGCCUGAUGCAACAACGCCGCGUGCGGGAUGACGGCCUUCGGGUUGUAAACCGCUUUCGCCUGUGACGAAGCGUGAGUGACGGUAAUGGGUAAAGAAGCACCGGCUAACUACGUGCCAGCAGCCGCGGUGAUACGUAGGGUGCGAGCGUUGUCCGGAUUUACUGGGCGUAAAGGGCUCGUAGGUGGUUGAUCGCGUCGGAGGUGUAAUCUUGGGGCUUAACCCUGAGCGUGCUUUCGAUACGGGUUGACUUGAGGAAGGUAGGGGAGAAUGGAAUUCCUGGUGGAGCGGUGGAAUGCGCAGAUAUCAGGAGGAACACCAGUGGCGAAGGCGGUUCUCUGGGCCUUUCCUGACGCUGAGGAGCGAAAGCGUGGGGAGCGAACAGGCUUAGAUACCCUGGUAGUCCACGCUGUAAACGGUGGGUACUAGGUGUGGGGUCCAUUCCACGGGUUCCGUGCCGUAGCUAACGCUUUAAGUACCCCGCCUGGGGAGUACGGCCGCAAGGCUAAAACUCAAAGGAAUUGACGGGGCCCCGCACAAGCGGCGGAGCAUGCGGAUUAAUUCGAUGCAACGCGUAGAACCUUACCUGGGUUUGACAUGGAUCGGGAGUGCUCAGAGAUGGGUGUGCCUCUUUUGGGGUCGGUUCACAGGUGGUGCAUGCCUGUCGUCAGCUCGUGUCGUGAGAUGUUGGGUUAAGUCCCGCAACGAGCGCAACCCUUGUUCACUGUUGCCAGCACGUUAUGGUGGGGACUCAGUGGAGACCGCCGGGGUCAACUCGGAGGAAGGUGGGGAUGACGUCAAGUCCUCAUGCCCCUUAUGCCCAGGGCUUCACGCAUGCUACAAUGGCUGGUACAGAGAGUGGCGAGCCUGUGAGGGUGAGCGAAUCUCGGAAAGCCGGUCUCAGUUCGGAUUGGGGUCUGCAACUCGACCUCAUGAAGUCGGAGUCGCUAGUAAUCGCAAAUCAGCAUCGCUGCGGUGAAUACGUUCCCGGGGCU
rnacentral:rRNA from 1 species